rnacentral:rRNA from 1 species
ACGUACAAACCUUAUCGAUAAACAAUUGGAGGGCAAGUCUGGUGCCAGCAGCCGCGGUAAUUCCAGCUCCAAUAGCGUAUAUUAACGUUGUUGCAGUUAAAAAGCUCGUAGUUGAAAUGAAGGGUGGUUGUGUAAUGAAUACAUUCGUGUAUUUUGUUAUUCUACUACCCUCCUUCUAAAUUCGAUAUAUGAGUAUUAAUUUACUUGUAUAUGGUUUUAGACCUUUACUGUGAGAAAAUUAGAGUGUUCAAAGCAGGCAUUUGCUUGAAUAUAUUAGCAUGGAAUAAUCAUGUAUGAUUUUCAUGAUGUAUUUGAUUGGUUUGGUUCAUGAGAAUAAGAUUAAAAGGGACAGUUGGGGGUAUUCAUAUUCAAUAGUCAGAGGUGAAAUUCUCGGAUUUAUGGAAGAUGAACAAGUGCGAAAGCAUUUACCAAGGAUGUUUUCAUUAAUCAAGAACGAAAGUUAGGGGAUCGAAGAGGAUUAGAUACCCCGUUAGUCUUAAA